rnacentral:rRNA from 1 species
AAUGCAUAGGAAUCUGCCCAGUAGUGGGGGAUAACUCGAAGAAAUUCGAGCUAAUACCGCAUAUGUCCCACGGGACAAAGCAGGGGACCUUCGGGCCUUGCGCUAUUGGAUGAGCCUAUGUCGGAUUAGCUAGUUGGUAGGGUAAAAGCCUACCAAGGCAACGAUCCGUAGCUGGUCUGAGAGGAUGAUCAGCCACACUGGGACUGAGACACGGCCCAG